rnacentral:rRNA from 1 species
GACGAACGCUGGCGGCGUGCUUAACACAUGCAAGUCGAACGGAAAGGCCCUGCUUUUGUGGGGUGCUCGAGUGGCGAACGGGUGAGUAACACGUGAGUAACCUGCCCUUGACUUUGGGAUAACUUCAGGAAACUGGGGCUAAUACCGGAUAGGAGCUCCUGCUGCAUGGUGGGGGUUGGAAAGUUUCGGCGGUUGGGGAUGGACUCGCGACUUAUCAGCUUGUUGGUGGGGUAGUGGCUUACCAAGGCUUUGACGGGUAGCCGGCCUGAGAGGGUGACCGGCCACAUUGGGACUGAGAUACGGCCCAGACUCCUACGGGAGGCAGCAGUGGGGAAUAUUGCACAAUGGGCGGAAGCCUGAUGCAGCAACGCCGCGUGCGGGAUGACGGCCUUCGGGUUGUAAACCGCUUUCGCCUGUGACGAAGCGUGAGUGACGGUAACGGGUAAAGAAGCACCGGCUAACUACGUG